AUUGAACGCUAGCGGGAUGCCUUACACAUGCAAGUCGAACGGAGUGGCGAACGGGUGAGUAAUGUAUCGGAACGUGCCCACUAGAGGGGGAUAACUACGCGCAAGCGUAGCUAAUACCGCAUAUUAUGGGAGCGGCCGACAUCGGAGUACCUCGUUGGUGGGGUAACGGCUCACCAAGGCAACGACCCGUAGCUGGUUUGAGAGGACGACCCGCCACACUGGGACUGAGAGACGGCCCGGACUCCUACGGUGGGCAGAAGUGGGGAAUUUUUGACAAUGGGGGAAGCCCUGAUCCAGCCAUCCCGAGUGUGCGAUGAAGGCCUUCGGGUUGUAAAGCACUUUUGGCAGGAAAGCGGUACCUGCAGAAUAAGCACCGGCUAACUACGUGCCAGCAGCCGCGGUAAUAC
rnacentral:rRNA from 1 species